rnacentral:rRNA from 1 species
GACGAACGCUGGCGGCGCGCUUAACACAUGCAAGUCGAACGGAAAGGCCUGCUUUCCCUUGUGGAUUGCGGGUACUCGAGUGGCGAACGGGCGAGUAACACGUGAGUGAUCUGCCCCCAACUUGGGUAUAAGCCUGGGAGACUGGGUCUAAUUCCCGAUAGGACUGCAGGGUGGUGCCUGUGGUGGAAAACGAUUUUCUAGUGGUUGGGGAUGAGCUCGCGGCCUAUCAGCUUGUUGGUGGGGUAAUGGCCUACCAAGGCGGCGACGGGUAGCCGGCCUGAGAGGGUGGACGGCCACAUUGGGACUGAGAUACGGCCCAGACUCCUACGGGAGGCAGCAGUGGGGAAUAUUGCACAAUGGGCGGAAGCCUGAUGCAGCGACGCCGCGUGGGGGAUGACGGCCUUCGGGUUGUAAACUCCUUUCGACCGCGAGGAAGCCACCUGGUUGGAAGGGUGGUGACGGUAGUGGUAGAAGAAGCACCGGCUAACUACGUG